AUUGAACGCUGGCGGCAGGCCUAACACAUGCAAGUCGAGCGGAUGAGGGGAGCUUGCUCCUGGAGUCAGCGGCGGACGGGUGAGUAAUGCCUAGGAAUCUGCUUGGCAGUGGGGGAUAACGUCUGGAAACGGGCGCUAAUACUGCAUACGUCCUGCGGGAGCAAGAGGGGGAUCUUUGGACCUCACGCUAUCAUAUGAGUCUAGGCCGGACUAGUUAGUUGGUGGGGUAAAGGCCUACUUAGGCGAGGAUUCGUAACUGGACUGUGAGGAUGAUCAGUCACACUGGAGCUGAGACGCGGUCCAUACUCCUACGAGACGCAGCAGUGGGGAAUAUUGGACAGUGGGCGAGAGCCUUAUCCAGCCGUGCCGCGUGUGUGAAGAAGGUCUUCGGAUUGUAAAGCACUUUAAGUUGUGGUGAAGGGCAGUAGGUUAAUACCAUGCUUUUUUGACGUUACCAACAGAAUAAGCACCGGCUAACUUCGUG
rnacentral:rRNA from 1 species